CACACACACUCUGUCACUCACACACACAGUCACUCACAGACACACGCUCAGUCACUCAGACACACACACUCACUCACAGACACACACGCUCAGUCACUCACAGACACACACGCUCUGUCACUCACACACACAGUCACUCACAGACACACACGAUCAAUCACUCACAGACACACACACUCUGUCACUCACACACACAGUCACUCACAGACACACACGCUCAGUCACUCACAG